rnacentral:rRNA from 1 species
CUGGCGGCGGCCUACACAUGCAAGUCGAACGGUAACAGAAGAGCUUGCUCUUGCUGACGAGUGGCGGACGGGUGAGUAAUGCAUAGGAAUCUACCCUCUAGAUGGGGAUACCGUAGGGAAACUUACGUUAAUACCGAAUAUGCUCUAAGGAGUAAAGGUGGCCUCUACUUGUAAGCUAUCGCUAGAGGAUGAGCCUAUGUUAGAUUAGCUAGUUGGUGAGGUAAUGGCUCACCAAGGCGACGAUCUAUAGCUGGUUUGAGAGGAUGAUCAGCCACACUGGGACUGAGACACGGCCCAGACUCCUACGGGAGGCAGCAGUGGGGAAUAUUGGACAAUGGGCGCAAGCCUGAUCCAGCCAUGCCGCGUGUGUGAAGAAGGCCCGAGGGUUGUAAAGCACUUUUAGUGAGGAGGAAAGGUUAGUUGCUAAUAUCAGCUAGCUGUGACGUUACUCGCAGAAAAAGCACCGGCUAACUCUGUGCCAGCAGCCGCGGUAAUACAGAGGGUGCAAGCGUUAUUCGGAAUUACUGGGCGUAAAGCGCGCGUAGGCGGAUUAUUAAGUCAGUUGUGAAAGCCCUGGGCUCAACCUAGGAACGGCGAUUGAAACUGGUAGUCUAGAGUUUAGUAGAGGGAAGGGGAAUUUCUGGAGUAGCAGUGAAAUGCGUAGAUAUCAGAAGGAACAUCAGUGGCGAAGGCGCCUUCCUGGACUAAAACUGACGCUGAGGUGCGAAAGCGUGGGGGAGCAAA